GAACCACCAGUGUCCCAAUGGAUACAAUGAAGAUGAGAGCGAUGAUUCAAUGGCUUCGGACGCCUCUUCUGGGCCAAGCCACCACAAGUUUCCACCGAGCAGUGAGCAGAAUUUGGGGAUGAACCAUUUCACGCAUGGAAGUAUUGUUAAGUCCAUCUCAACGGAGAAACUUCAGAAACAGGUGAUUAAAAGGGACCAAAGAAGAAACAGACAUGGGAAGGGAAAGUUAAAACUUAAGACAAUUAGUGCUCCUAGUCGUGUUCAAAGGGGAUACAUAAGCAAAGAUGAUGAAGCAGGAAGAAUUGGUGUGUCUCAAAUUUCCCAGUCAUGUUUAGAAAUGUGUGAUGAAUGUUGAAUGGGAUUGACUCUGAGAACUUCAUAGAUGUUUUAGGAUGAUAUAUAUAUAUGCGUGUUAGUUAAUUUUGGGUUUUUAAUGUGUUCUAUGUAACCUAUGAACUUUGAUUGUUGUUGUUUUUGCUGCUGUUGUCAUCAUCCUUUUAUGUCGGAAAUGAAUUUUUUUUUCGAUGGAAAAUUUCGUCAGUUUGUUGGGUGAAGAUUCAAAGAGCUGAAGAUGUUUUUUGUGACAUAGAUAAAUGCACAUGUAUGUGUAAAUGAAGGUCGCACCAGAAGAAAUGCAAAUAAUAUAUUAUAUAUUGUUAAGAUUUAAACGUCGAUAAUGAUAAUAUAGAAAGAUUGCAAAGAAAAAGAAAGAAAAAUAGAAUAUACAAAUUUUAAAUAGAAACCCUCUCGGAAAAAAACUACGAGUAGAGGAGAAGAAAAUUCACUAAUGUCGAAUUUGAAUGAUACAAGAAGAGUUUCGACUACAUCUAUUUAUCGGUUGAAAAAACUUAAUUCUAAUCAAUGCCAAAUAUAUUAUGUUAAUAAAUGCUAAAUAUAUUAUACUAAUAAAUACUAAAUCUUCUAGAAAGAAAAUAUAUUUUGUUUAACUUGACUUGCAAGCAAUCUCUUAGAAUUUGGGUCACACAACUCUAACAAUCUUCACAUUGACACAAAUUCUCAACAAAGAAGUUUUUCACCACGAAUUCUCAACGAACAAGUUCUCCACCUCUUCCACGAAACCCCUUAAGGGUAUUCUUCAAUAAUGGACGCCAACCAAGUCCAAGCAAUGCUCGAACUUGAUUAUAGGAAGUGACUUAGUCAUCAUAUCUGCAGGAUUAUCAUGCGUAUUAAUUUUGUUCGCAACAAUAUCACCAUGAGUAAUAAUAUCACAUAGAAAAUGAUACAGAACGUCAAUGUGUUUUAUUUUCUCAUGAAGCGUUUGUUCCUUUGUAAGGAAGAUGGCACUCUGACUAUCACAAAAUAUUGUACUGAUCUGAAGGUCUUCACUGAGUUCACUCCUUUUAACCAAAUAACUUCUUUACAAACCUCGGUAAUUGUCAUGUACUCAGCUUCAGUAGUAGACAAAGCAACUGUAGUUUGCAAAGUGGCUUUUCAACUGAUUGCCAACCUCUAAUAGUAAAGACAUACUCGGUGAGAGAUUUUCUUUUGUUAAGGUCUCCAGCAAAAUCAAAAUCAACAUACCCAAUAACUCCAUCUCUAGUUAUUCCAAACUGUAAGCAAACAUCAGUAGUACCUCGUAAGCAUCUUAAAAUCCAUUGAACUGCUUUCCAGUGUUCUUUACCGGGAUUCGCCAUGUAUCUACUAACUACACUAACUAUAAAUGAUAAACCUAGAGGUAAACAAACCAUAACAUACAUUAGAGAUCCCACUACACUAGAUUAUGGAACACGUGUCAUGUAGUCAAUCUCGUCAUUUGAUUGUGAAGAAAAAAACGAUGAAAGUCUAAAGUGGGAUGCUAAUGGAGUACUAACAUACUUGGCAUUUUGCAUAUUGAACCUACAAAUAACUUUCUCAAUAUACAAUUUCUAAAUUAGGUACAAUUUACAUGUUUUUCUAUAUCUGAGAAUCUCCAUCUCAAGUAUCUUCUAGGUCUGUUCUUGACAAUAGAAUAUUGUGGUAAAGAAGCAACUCUAUUCUUAGAUUUUUGUACUAACAUGAGGAGUAGAUUCUGUGGUAAAUUCUGGAUCAAUCUAUAGCUCCACUUACUUCACAUGUGUUCUUGGAAUUUGCUGGUAUCUAUUAGAAGAGUCUUUAAGAGAUAAGUUAGGCAGUAUAACAGUUUCAUAAAAAAAAUAAAUCUCUGCUAAUCACAACUUUUCUAUUUUUAGGACAAUACCUUAUAUCAUUUAACACCACCCAUAUAACUAAGAAAACGCAUUUAAUUGAUUUAGGUUCCAAUUUCCCAUUCUCAACAUGAGCAUACAUAGGUCACCCAAAAAUAUUCAAAUCAGAAAAAUCAGUAGGAUUACUAAACCAUACCUCUUGUGGAGUCUUUUUCUCAAUGGAAAUGGACGGAGACUUGUUAAUAAAAAAAUGCAAUAGAGGCCGCUUCAGCCCAAAACGACUUUGGUAAAAAAGCAUUCGACAAUAUACAUCGAAGAUUUCCAUGAUUGUUCUAUUCAUCCGUUCUGCAAAGCCAUUUUUCUGUGGAGUAUGACGAACUGUCAAGUUUCUCACGAUCCCUUCUGAUUUGCAUAAUUUAUUAAACUUAUUAGAACAUGAUUCCAAGCCAUUAUCUAUGUGGAAGUGUUUCAUCUGUUUUCCUGUCUAUUCUCAAUCAUAGUUUUCCAAGCCUUAAAUGUGGAACACACAUCAAUUUUUUGGUUCAGGAAGAAUGCCCAGACCUUUCUGAAAAAAUCAUUAAUAAUUGUUAGCAUAUAACUAGUGCCACCCUUUGAAAGCACUCUAGAUGGUCCCCAAAGAUCAGAAUGAAUAUAAUCCAGCAUUCCCUUUGUGUUAUGGAUUCCUCUGGUGAAUUUAACUCUCAUUUGCUUCCCAAAAACGCAGUGCUUAUAGAACUUCAGUUUGCUAAUUUCUUUUCCAUCAAGAAGUCCUCUUCUGUUCAAUUCUAUCAUGUUGUUCUCACUCAUAUGCCCUAAACGCAUAUGCCAAAGUCUAGUAACAUUAUUAUCUGACAAGAAAGAGGAAGCGAUGACUACAUCACCAGUAACAGUUGAACCUUGCAAAACAUAUAACCUGUCAGUCUUUCUUUGCCCUUCUAUCACAACGAGGGAACUCUUGUUAAUCUUUAGAACCCCACUUUUAGCUGUGUACUUGUGCCUCUUUGAAUCAAUAAUACUCAACGAGAUCAAAUUCCUCUUCAAUUUUGGUACAUGUCAUACACCACUAAGUGUUCUGGAAACUCCAUCAAACAUCUUGAUUUUGAUUGUGCUAAUACCUGCGAUUUUACAUGAAGAAUUAUUUCCCGUUAAAACAACACCUUCAGACAUUGUUUUAUAUGUUGUAAACCAAUCUUGAUUAGGACUCAUAGGGAAAGUGCAAUAUGAAUCAAUGAUCCCCUCCUCACUCACUUUAGGGUUGUUGGUAGAAGAACCUAGGAGUUCACCAUCGCUGUAGUCUUCUACAACAUCAGCUUUACCAGAUUGUUCUAAUUAUUUUCCCUUUUGAUUCACCACCUUUCUUUUGAUCUUAUUCCGCAACUUAUAGUACUCAGACUUAAUGUGCCUGUUUUUUUUUGCAGAAGUUACAGGUUUUACCUCUGUUUGAAGAUCUUGAUCUACCCUUAGGUUUACUACAAGGUUUGGUUCUUGUGUCCUCCCACGAUUAUCAUCAGUAUUUCGUUCUUAUCUCUCACAAACAAUGAGAUCCUCUCCCUGGGAGUCAGAUCUAGACACAAGAUGCUUUAUCUUGUCAUAAGAUGUUAAGGAAGCAUAGGCUUCAUCAACUAUGAGAAAUUUGUGGCUAUACAAAAUCGUAUAUCUAAAGGUUGAAUAGUACGGGGGCACCAAACAAAGUAGAAUCAUCCUUAAAUCUUAUUUACCAUACUGAACUCCUUAGCCACUAGGUCUGAGAGAUUUUCUUUAAAUACAGUUCAGUGUUCGUGUACAGACACACAUUCCUCCAAACGAUGAGCAUAAAAGCGUUACUUCAUAUGCAACUUGCUAGUUAGGGUUUUCGACAUGUAUAACGGAUGCAACUUUUCCCAUAAUGCAACGGUAAUCUUCUCCUUCAUCACGUCCUGUAGAAUUUCAUUCGACAGAUGUAGAUGUAAUUAAGUUAAAGCCUUUCGAUCUUUAUGCUUCUUCUCUUCCUCCGUCAAUGUUGAAGGCAUCUUAUCUAUCCUUAGCAGGGCAUCCUCCAAAUCCAUUUAUGCAAGAAUCGUCUGCAUCUUUAUCUAUCACAACGAGAAUCUGGUGUUGCAAUCUAACAACGAAAUAUCAUAUUUCAUUGUUGCUAUUACUAUGAUCGAAACAAGCAACCCGAAAAUACUCUGAUACCAAUUUUUUUAAAUCUAAACAUCGAUAAUGUAGAAAGAUCGCAAAGAAAAAGAAAGAAAAAUAUAACACAUAGAUUUUACGUGGAAACCCUUUCGGGAAAAAAUCACGGUCAGAGGAGAAGUAAAUUUACUAAUGUCGAAUUUGAAUGAUAUAAGAGGAAUUUCGACUACAUCUAUUUAUAAGUUGAAAAAACCUAAUUCUAAUUAAUGUCAAGUAUAUUAUGCUAAUAAAUGUUAAAUAUAUUAAACUAAUAAAAUAUAAAAUCUUUUAGAAAGAAAAUAUGUUUUGUUUAACUUGACUUGCAAGUAAUCUCUUAGAAUUUGGGUUACACAACUCUAAAUUCCUGAGCGUUGGCCCAGUAAAGCUUAAAAGGAGACCUACACUUCCAUGCUUUCUUUUGUUUAAUAUUUUGUCUGUAGAUUAGGAAAAUAAUAAUAAAAAAUGAUUUUUUUUUUUAAAAUUUUGAAGUCUCAAACUUAAGUUUUAAGAAUGAGUUUUGUGCUUAUAUUGGAGCUGUUCUGUAUUUUAGUAUGUUGAUUUGAUAAUUUUUCAUUUAGUUAUUCCAUUAGUGACAAAUUUAUCAAUCUAUACCUAUAAUUAACAUAUGUUUUUCAUCAUAUUACUAAAUUUAUAUUUAAAAAUAAUUAUAUUAUUUAAAUUAGAAUUAUUAGUUAAAAAAGUCAAUAGAAAUUGCAAUAAUUACAUAUUAAAAAAUAUUUAGAAAUUAAACUACAAUUAUUAGUUAAAAAAGAUUUUACUAAUUUUAAAAUAAAGUUGUCAAUUGAAUCUUAACUAGAUUGACAUGGGCAUUGUUGCCAAUACAUGAGGACGUGGGUUUAAGUGCGCUGAAGCACAUUAUCCUUCUAUUUAUGGGUUGAAGGAGGGGCUAUGGAUGAUUCUAAGUAUUGUGUCAAAAAAGAGUAGAUAUGAUAAUUUAAAAUAAAAUUAUCACUUGAAUAGAACUUUAAAUAUAAAAUUUAAUAAAAAUUGUGAUAAUUGUAAUUAUAAAAUUCAAUUAUUAGUUAAAAGUUUUUGAUAUUAUGCUAAUUUUAUUACUAUAAAAUAGAGUUAUUAUUUGAAUAGAAUUAUAAGCAUAUUAAUUAUCACUUAUUUAAUAUUAGAGUUAAUUAUAUUAAUUAGUUAUUAUUUUGAAAAAUGUUACUUUGCAUUAAUUACAAGAAAAAUAUAUUAUAUGUUGAAUAUGUUAAAAAUGUUUUAAUUAUUGUUUGCAAUUUUAUAUUGUAAUAUUUGAACGGAUAAGUUAACAUAUUUUAGUUAUAUUCAAUAAUUCAAAUGAGAAAUAUUAUUUUACGCUAACUGUUGCAAUUAAAAAUUGGGUAAACUACACAAAUAAUCGCUCAACUAUAAAUUUUUUUCAUUUUAGGCAUCGAAAGUAAAAGUUUAAAAUUUAAGCACUCACGUUACAUAGUGUAGUCAUUUUGGUCACUUCUGUUAAAAUAAAAAACGACAAGCUGACGUGGUAGUUACAAAAAUCAAUAUAAUAACAAAUUUAUUCCUAAACUUUUACAUAUUAUACCGAUUUAGUCAUAAUUUUAAAAAAUCAACUCUCAAAAUUUACAAAUGUUCUUCAUUUAAUCCUCAUUUUAAAAAAAUCAAAGAAUUAUAUUAAAAUACAUAAAUAUUUUAAAAAUAUAUAAUAAUAAAAUUUUAAUUUUAUAUUAAUAUCAAUAUUAAAUAAAAAUAAAAAACCCUCCCUUCCCCUCCCCUACCAUCGUCCCUUUUUUGCAUACACGAGAGCCUUGUAGGUAGGGGUUUUCAUUCAAUCUGUUCAGUUGGUUCAGUUUUUUAUAUAAAAAAAUCAAAUAAAUUGAAUUAAUCACCUAAACCAAAUAAACCAAACCAACCAAAGAAACAAAAUCGAAUAAAAUGAACUUUGGUUCAGUUCGAUUUAGUUUUCAGUUUUUGAUUUUUUUUAGUUGGGAAAAAAAUUAUCUUCUUUAGUUUUUUUUUCACAUAAUUAUGUUCUUUAUUCAAUUUACUAUAUUAUAUCAUAUCAUUUUAAUUUUAAUUUUAUUUUAUAUUCAUUUAAAAUAUAUAUUAAAAAUUAAAUAAAUUGAUUUUUAAUGAACUUAAAAAUAUUAUUUUCUAAUAUGGCAAAGGUAUCGUUACUUUGAUAUAUGCUAUUGGUACCAUUUGCUUAUAUUAAUUGGUAGGAUAUUAGGUUUAAAGGGUUUGAGGUUGAAGAGUAUUAAGUUUAAAUUUGAGCUUGAAUAUGUAAAAUGAGUUAUGAGUUUAUGCCUUAUGGGUUGUAGCAAUUGACUUUGAUUUUUUGGUUCUGAAAUUUUUUGCAUACCUAUAGGCAGCCAUUGCUUCCACCUUUGCAGAUUCUUAUCAUUGCUUUGCAAUCUCCAUCUUGUCCCUUCUUUCAACCCCAAAUAAUACGGCACAGAUCCUGAUUCCUCAAAUGAAAUCAACCCAUCUUUGUCUAUGUCAAACACAUCGAAAGCCUAUUUCAGUUCCUCUUUUCUAUUCAUUCCAUCAUCUUUGAAUUUGGUACCACUUGCAUCACCACCAUCUAUGGCCUGACAUAAGAUGCAAAACUCAUCGUAACUGUUUAUGUAUGAGAUAAGUUAGGUAGUUAGUAGUCAGUUACCAUCUGGUAUAUUGUUAGUUCAGGUGGUUUGCAUCAGUUAUCACUUACUCAUGUAUAUAAGUACCAAUCUUGUACAGAUUGAGUCAAGACAAUAAUAAUAAGUAUAUUCAAUCAAUUCUAUUCUUGUAUUUCUUUCAUUCUUUAGUAUCUUCUAACAUGGUAUCAGUCGCCCAAAGAUUCUGAAGGAAUAUUCAUGGCAAACUCUGCUGACUCUACCGCUGUUGAUCAUGGCAAUCCUAUACUUUUUGGUAUCCGGUUAGUUCAGACCUUUCCUAGGCAUGAUACGGUGAAGUUGGAAGAAGGGAAUUUUGUCCAAUGGCAGUAACAUAUAUGAAUAAUCAUUGAAGGAUAUGAAUUAAUCAGUUACCUGGAAGGUACGUUACCUAUUUCGCCUCGGUUUAUCUCCUUUCCCGACGCCGUCCUCACUCUAAAUCCUGAUGCAUCGAUCUUUGUUUAGCAAGAUAAGCUUCUUGCUUCCUGUCUUCUUUCUACUAUUAGUUCCUCUUUUUUGUCUUGUUUUACAGUGGCCAAAUCUGCCUGUGAUGUUUGGAGCACAGCCAAUCACCUUUUUGCGACAGCCACUAGAGCAAAAAUAUCUCAGAUCAGACAUGAACUCCAUUCAAUCAAAAAAGAAGCAAUGACAGUUAAAGAAUACCUAGCGAAAAUACAAAAUACCUGUGCGUUACUUGAGGCAUUUGGUUCUGCCAUUCCAGAAGCAGAAAGAGUUGAAAUCAUACUUGCUGGAAUUUCAUCAGAAUUUGAUGUGAUUUUAACGCUUGCGUCCUUCUUGACAAAGGCUCUUCCUCUUCAAAAACUCGUUGAUGCUCUUUUAGAGUUUGUGAGUAGGCAAUCUCGUACAGUGUCGGAAACAUUUUUUCAUGCAAAUCUUGUUAAUUCCACUUCGACGCCGUUGGUGGCUGACUCAGUGAGUGGCGGCGUUUGUUUUCUUCCUAGCGCAUGGGCAUAGGUCUUGCACUCAUCUUCAUUGCCAAAUCUUACAGCACAGAGGUGUUAUUACCAGUUCGAUGGUGAAUAUGACGGUCCCUCUUCUUCGACUCUGGCGUUUUCUGGUCGUGCGGGUCAAGGUUCGCGUGAGGGAGGCCUUGGUGAUGGUUGGUACUUGCCAGUUCAUGGUGGUUCGUCUGGCUUCACUGGCUCUAGACAACCUCUUGGAAACAUAAUGGCGGUUCCGAUGGAAUUUCCCUUUGGUAUUGUGUGGAGAGGCCACCUCUCUACUAUUUCGAAUAUGUUUGCUACUAGGGUUCCAAAACCCCUUUUUCAAUUUUCAAAUGAGGCCAAUCAAGGUCAAAUGGAUGGGGUUGUUUAUGAUGACCUGGGCCCACGUCAUGAGUGUGUUGUUCUUCACUUGGGUACCCAUGUGCCGC
rnacentral:lncRNA from 1 species